UUUAAAUAGAUUAUCUCUCAUAGAGCACUUUUAGGGUAAUACCCAGGUCUCAGAGAUUUUCCGGACCUGUUAGACGGAGAACUGGUCAGUAGUCAGCCCAAGGGAGUUGUGAUGAAGAGGGCGGGGCUGGCUAUUGCGCAAUAACAGACAAGUUGUCAUGGUACUUU